rnacentral:sRNA from 1 species
ACAUGAUUGUGAUGUAAAUUUUGUAUUUACUGCCACCCGGUGAAUUCAAAAUUUACAACAUGACAAGUGCUUCCCUAAAUAAAAUGCUUAAAGAAUAUGACAGUAAUAUCAAUAUCUCUGAUAAAAGUCUCACAGAAAUUUUAAAAACAAAGUCCGUAUGAUCGAAUAUCAAGAAAAUCUCGAAUAACAUCUUUUGCGAUAUUCACCGUCUCCCAAUAGAGGUUGGUCGGUGGAACAGUUUACACUGGCACAAAAGAGUUUGUAAUUUAUUUACUGUAAAAUAGAUCACAUUGAAAACGGGUUCCACUACCUUUUAGAAUGUAACAUAUUAUCUUCGAUUCGAAAAUCUUAGCACGAAAAGACAAUGUUCAAUCAAAUACUCUAUAGUUCUUUAAUUUGUUGUAGAAUCACAACUUUGAAAAAUCUAUAUAUAUUCAUAAGUUUAUGAAAUUGUCUAUUCCUCACGAACAUAAUGAUAUAAUGAUAUAAUGAUAAUGAUAAUGUACCCAUUACUAUUUAAUAGGAUUGGGAGAGUAAAUGAAUUGAUUUCAAAGAUAGCAAGUUUAAUUGUUGGAAGAGCCUGGUCCCGCCUCAAGUUUGAGUUUCAAAUGUAUGUGAUUAUUGUAUUUUCUGAAAGGAUUUGAUCUGAGAACCGAGUGUUGGGGAUGUUAAAAUGUCUGUAUUGUUGAUAACUUCUACCAUAAAUGAGCGUUUUAAAAUAAAAUUCUACCCCAACGUGGUGAAAAAUAAUCCUAAAUUCAACAACUGUUUAAUAACACGCUUUCUUUUCAGGAAAUCUGCAUUACGUCCUAGAACGAUGAACAAAGGCACGGCAAAGUAGGAGGAUGUUCAUAUAGAAACCAGGCGAGUGUAGCGGGCACCAGGGCCCCCACCCAGAGCGGCUGUAACGUCUCCGUAAAGGGCCGUGGUGGACCAAAGCAUGACGAGACUGAGAAUCCUUAUCAGACCAUUCCCUUUUUAAAGCAAAACUCUUCUAGAUCUUAAACCGCUGAAUGGAAUUCCAAAAAACUUUGUAGGUGUUAAGAAAACACUGUGAAGAUGUUCAUAUAACCAAAAACCUUCGACUUCAUUAAUUUAUACUGAAUAUAGUACAUAAUGAACAGUUUCUAAGCGCAACUCCUCGCAAACCGCUGCACGGAAUUUUGUAAAUCCUUAUAGCUUUUUAUAUAUAAUUAGGACAUAAUGUGUGAACGUGCAUAAUACCAGUAAUUACUAAUUCCAUAAUUUUUUGCAUUUCUGUACAUUUCAAUUUAUAAUUUUAUUGCCGUUACAAAAAACCAGUAUAAACAUGCAUGUCACAUUGCAGGAAAAUUUGAUAUGAUAGAUUUUUGAGGAGUUAUGUCCCUUUUAAAAUCAAAUCACUUUGUUUAUAAAAUACAUAUCCUGCUUUUUAUACCUGAUAACCACCAUACUGAGGUAGAUUUACAAUACUUAGAUGAUUAUUUUGAUCCAUUAUUGUCUCCUUGUUCUUUGUAAACUGCACAGAGUCUGACUAAUAAAAAGAUAUAACUAU